rnacentral:rRNA from 1 species
UGGGGAAUAUUGGACAAUGGGGGCAACCCUGAUCCAGCAAUGCCGCGUGUGUGAAGAAGGCCUGCGGGUUGUAAAGCACUUUUGGCAGGGAUGAAAAGCACUGGAUUAAUAACCCAGUGUGUUGACCUAACCUGCAGAAGAAGCACCGGCUAACUCUGUGCCAGCAGCCGCGGUAAUACGUAGGGUGCGAGCGUUAAUCGGAAUUACUGGGCGUAAAGCGUGCGCAGGCGGUUUGGUAAGACAGAUGUGAAAUCCCCGGGCUUAACCUGGGAACUGCAUUUGUGACUGCCAGACUAGAGUGUAGCAGAGGGGGGUAGAAUUCCACGUGUAGCAGUGAAAUGCGUAGAUAUGUGGAGGAAUACCGAUGGCGAAGGCAGCCCCCUGGGCUAACACUGACGCUCAUGCACGAAAGCGUGGGGAGCAAACAGGAUUAGAUACCCUAGUAGUCCCUGAGCGGGCUGGCAAGGCGCAU